AUUGAACGCUGGCGGCAUGCCUUACACAUGCAAGUCGAACGGCAGCACGGGGCAACCUGGUGGCGAGUGGCGAACGGGUGAGUAAUGCAUCGGAACGUACCUUUCAGUGGGGGAUAACGUAGCGAAAGUUACGCUAAUACCGCAUAUUCUGUGAGCAGGAAAGCAGGGGAUCGCAAGACCUUGCGCUGAUUGAGCGGCCGAUGCCAGAUUAGCUAGUUGGUGAGGUAAAGGCUCACCAAGGCGACGAUCUGUAGCGGGUCUGAGAGGAUGAUCCGCCACACUGGAACUGAGACACGGUCCAGACUCCUACGGGAGGCAGCAGUGGGGAAUUUUGGACAAUGGGGGCAACCCUGAUCCAGCCAUGCCGCGUGAGUGAAGAAGGCCUUCGGGUUGUAAAGCUCUUUCGGCCGGGAAGAAAUCGCACGGGCUAAUACCCUGUGUGGAUGACGGUACCGGAAUAAGAAGCACCGGCUAACUACGACCCAGCCGCCGCCGUAAAAC
rnacentral:rRNA from 1 species